rnacentral:rRNA from 1 species
AACGAACGCUGGCGGCAGGCCUAACACAUGCAAGUCGAACGCUCGUAGCAAUACGGGAGUGGCAGACGGGUGAGUAACGCGUGGGAACGUACCCUUUGGUUCGGAAUAACCCGGGGAAACUCGGGCUAAUACCGGAUACGUCCGCAAGGAGAAGGAUUUAUCGCCCAAGGAUCGGCCCGCGUCGGAUUAGCUAGUUGGUGAGGGAACGGCCCAACAAGGCGACGAUCCGUAGCUGGUCUGGGAGGAUGAUCAGCCACACUGGGACUGAGACACGGCCCAGACUCCUACGGGAGGCAGCAGUGGGGAAUAUUGGACAAUGGGCGAAAGCCUGAUCCAGCCAUGCCGCGUGAGUGAAGAAGGCCUUAGGUUUGUAAAGCUCUUUCAGCGGGGAAGAUAAUGACGGUACCCGCAGAAGAAGUCCCGGCUAACUUCGUGCCAGCAGCCGCCGUAACAC